rnacentral:lncRNA from 1 species
GCUUAGUUUAGGGUUUAAAACCCUAAUGCUGGCUGAAAGGAAAAAUCCAGUUUAGGGUUUAAAACCCUAAUGCUGAUUGCAUGGAAAAGCUCAGUUUAGGCUUUAAAACCCUAAUGCUGGCUGAAUGGAAAAAAGUUUAGUUUAGGGUUUAAAACCCUAAUGCUGACUAAAGGAAAAAUUCAGUUUAGGGUUUAAAAUCCUAAUGCUGAUUGCAUGGAAAAGCUCAGUUUAAGGUUUAAAACCCUAAUGCUGGCUUAAUGGAAAAAGUUCAGUUUAGGUUUUAAAACCCUAACGCUGACUAAAAGGAAAAUUCAGUUUAGGGUUUAAAACCCUAAUGUUGAUGGCUGGAAAAGCUCAGUUUAGGGUUUAAAACCCUAAUGUUGGCUGCAUGGAAAAAGUUCAAUUUAGGGUUUAAAACCCUAAUGCUGACAUGCAUGGAAAAGCUCAGUUUAGGGUUUAAAACCCUAAUGCUGGCUGAAUGGAAAAAGUUCAGUUUGGGUUUAAAACCCUAAUGCUGACUGGAAGGAAAAGCUCAGUUUAGGGUUUAAAACCCUAAUGCUGGCUGAAGGAAAAAGUUCAGUUUAGGGUUUAAAACCCUAAUGCUGAUGGCUGGGGACAAAAUUCGAGAACAACCACUGACUUCUUUUUUUUUUAAAUUUUCGUACUUUAGUAAAAGAAAUAAAAGGGAGUUUCGUGGAACCUUACCUUUCGAGUGAAUUCCUUAUUACCAAAAUGUUUCUUGUACCCAUGUACCUUCUUCUUUGGUCGACACCUGCCUCUUGCACGGUUGUCUUGGAUUAAGCCUGUUUCAACCUUUCCGACGAAGAAU